GUGCUCAUUUUGGCAGCACGUAUGCUAAAAUUGCAAUGAUGCGGAGAUUAGCAUCGCCCCUGUGCAAGGAUGACACACAAAUUUCUGAAGUGUUUAUAUUUUUU